CCGCGCCCGGCACACCUCCCUCCUCCACUCCACUUGGAAGCCUUCGUCUGCGGCGUCAUACCACUGCCGGGGUGCCGCGCAAGAGGUCAGGGUCCGCCGCCACCGCGAGCCAGGGGACGCCCGUUGGUGAGCCUGCAUGCAGGAAGCCGACGGGGAGCACGGCGUCAACAAGCCGACAGGAGGCGGGGUCUUCCCGCUGGGAUGGAGGAGCAGGCGAUGGCCGGGAGGCCACCGGUGGGGGAGCAACGAGGCCCGAGCUCUAGGAUCCGCACACAUUGCGGGAUGGAGAAGAGGCCGGCGUGGGGCGCAAGGAGCAGCAGGGGAAGAACAGUGGGGCUUUCAUCUCCUCUCUCAUCCCGACUCCUACAAACCUCGCCACUGGUGCUUGCUCGGCUUACUCAUUCUCCUCCUCUCCCCAUAUUUUCCUCUGUUGUUUGUGUUCCUUCAAUUUGCAGGGAUUGUGGGAAGCAAAUGUACGUGGGGAGUUGUUCUACUCUCUCCCUCGUGGUGGGUUGAGUUGCGGUUUAGGUGGAGAUGUUGGUGCUGUUUGAGACGCCCACUGGGUUCGCCGUUUUCAAGGUUCUGAACAAGGGCAAGCUCGACAAGAUCAAGAGCUUUGUGUUCAUCUUUGUCCGUAGGAUCUAUGGAAGGAGUUCACCACAUCGGACUCGGCGAGAAAGGUUUGUGCUUCAUUUUUUAUUCUUUCAACGGCAAAGUAACUUCUCUUUUCAAAACACUUAGCACAUGAUCUAUCUAUCACACUAUAAUAGAGGAAGUCAGCAAAAGCCGUUUAUUUGAAUGAACAAGAAUCCGUGGUGUGCUCCUGAGCUAUAUGUCCCUUCUCCAAAUGUUAGAAAGGUUAUCUGAAAUUAGUUGUCACAUAGAAGUUGGUUUGGGAAACUAGGCUCAUUUGAUGUUUGCAUGCCUUCUUUGAACCGCAAGGAACACUCUACAACUGAACUCACUUAAGCAGGCUGAUAGAUGGCAAGUGACAUCCAUGACUGCACUUACUUUUUGUGAGCCUAUUUGCUCAAAAUAAUAAGAGGCUGAAUGGUUCAGUUA